rnacentral:ribozyme from 17 species
GAAGCAAGGGAGAAAAGUCCGGAUACUACGGAGGAAAGUAAAGUCUGGAUACUACGGACCGGAUACUACGGAGGAAAGUCCGGAUACUACGGAGGAAAGUCCAGCGGAUACUACGGUAGCAAGGGAGGAAAGGGAG